UCAAAGAUUCGUUGAUUUGCAAUUCAUUAAAGAAAUGAAGCUUUAUCUAUAGGCUUGGAGUGUUGUAAGUUAAAAUAAGGAAAUCUGUUAAUCAGAGACAAGCCACUAGAAAUAUACAGGACUCAAGGGAUCUGUUGAGUAAAUUGAUGGCCUGCAGGUGUGGUUUAAGCUUUGUCUUCUUCAAUGGCCUUAGAUCCUGUUAAUGAUUCAGUGUCUUAUUGUCACAAAGAAUAACUCCAAAAAUGGAGGGACCCAGGUAAAAGCAUUCUGGUAGGAAGCCCCUAAGAGGCUGCAGCCGUGGGGGCAACUCAGCCCAGAAAGCGGCCUCUCUGGUUACUGUGCACCUCCAACGGUGGACUUCCAUAGGUCUGAGAUAGGAGAGGUCAGGCGAGGUGACAGGCUCCUCCUCCAAGCCGUGGAGCAACUCAGCCAGGAAAGUGGCUUCUUUCCUUGCUGCAUCUCCCUAAGGAAGGAGCCUGCUCAGCUUGAGGUAGAAGCAGCCAGGCCUGGGGAGAAUCUCGUCUGAGGCCAUGGGGUUGCGACACCCCAAAAGCAGGCUCUCUCAUUACUCUGCUGUCCAAGGCCGGAGCUCAGUAGUCGUGAGGUAGAAAUGGACGUGAGUGCAGACAAGCUCCUCUGAAGGGCAAGGCAACUCGGUCUGGAAAGCGGCUUCUCUGGUUACUCCGCCCCUCCAAGGGAAGAGCCGGCUUAGUGUGAGGUAGAACGGGCGGCUGGGAAUCUCCUCUCACUCAGCCCAUGGCUGUUCGGCAACUCAGUCAGGAAAGUGGCUUCUUUCAUUGCUCCAUGAAAGUUGGGGUUUGACCUGCCGGAAAAGGCAAGUGGCUGAGGGCGGAAUGUUCAGAAAGCAGCCCCUCCAAGGGCAAAGCUUGGUAGGCGUGAGGUGGAAGCAGCAGGGCGACGGGACAAGCUCCUCCAGGCCUUGGAGCACCUCAGCCAGGAAAGUGGCUUCUCUCCUUACUCCGCCCCUCCAGGGGCAGGAUUUGUGCCAGCAGGAAAAGAUAUAGCUGAGAACAAUAUAGAGAAGAAAAAGCACCGGAGGAGAACCAAGAACAACUAGCAUCCCAGCAGAACGUAUUUGAUGAAAGAAGUUAUAAACUAAUCAAGCAAUGUUCACAGGUCUGGUUAAAUGAGCCUUGAGAACUGACUGCAGGAUUUAAUACAGUAGAGAUUACUGGUGACCUUGACAACAAGACUGUUAGCAGAGUGCUGGUGAUAUAUAGUCACUGAAGAUAAUGCUAUUAUAAGACAAAAGUCCCCUUCCUUUUGCGUUCUGACUUUUGACUGAGAUAGUGCAAAAUGGCUCCUAGAAUGGCACUUUUUGUAACUUUACUGAUCAAUCUCUGCAAUAGCACACUGAAAGGUAAGGCCUAUUACUCCUUCUGCAUAGGUUAGUUCCCUUCCUUUGCACUAUGUUGAUUUGGGACUUGGGUCUC